GCUAGUGUAGUAUAGUGGUUUGAGCAUUGGACUAUUAUUCCAAAGGCCAGAAUAUGUUUAAAUCCCUGCUCAAUCA